rnacentral:rRNA from 1 species
UACGAAGGGGGCUAGCGUUGCUCGGAUUGACUGGGCGUAAAGGGCGCGUAGGCGGUUCGUACAGUCAGACGUGAAAUUCCUGGGCUCAACCUGGGGGCUGCGUUUGAUACGUGCGGACUUGAGUGUGGGAGAGGUGCGUGGAAUUCCCGGUGUAGCGGUGAAAUGCGUAGAUAUCAGGAGGAACACCGGUGGCGAAGGCGGGUCUCUGGGCAGUAACUGACGCUGAGGAGCGAAAGCGUGGGGGAGCGAACAGG